rnacentral:rRNA from 1 species
UGGCGGACGGGUGAGUAAUGUCUGGGAAACUGCCCGGUGGAGGGGGAUAACUACUGGAAACGGUAGCUAAUACCGCAUAAUGUCGCAAGACCAAAGAGGGGGACCUUCGGGCCUCUUGCCACCGGAUGUGCCCAGAUGGGAUUAGCUUGUUGGUGAGGUAACGGCUCACCAAGGCGACGAUCCCUAGCUGGUCUGAGAGGAUGACCAGCCACACUGGAACUGAGACACGGUCCAGACUCCUACGGAAGGCAGCAG